GAUGAACGCUGGCGGCGUGCCUAAUACAUGCAAGUCGAACGAGUCUUCGGACUAGUGGCGAACGGGUGAGUAACACGUUGGUACCUGCCCCGAAGUGGGGAAUAACUGGACGAAAGGUCCGCUAAUACCGCAUAAUACCGCAAGGCUAAAGUAGCAAUACGCUUCGGGAGGGGCCUGCGUCUGAUUAGCUAGUUGGUGGGGUAACUGGCCACCAUGGCGACGAUCAGUAGCUGGAUCGAGAGGUUGACCAGCCACACUGGGACUGAGAUACGGCCCAGACUCCUACGGGAGGCAGCAGUAAGGAAUCUUCCACAAUGGACGAAAGUCUGAUGGAGCAACGCCGCGUGCAGGAUGACGGUCUUCGGAUUGUAAACUGCUUUUAUAUGGGAAGAUUAUGACGGUACCAUAUGAAUAAGGACCGGCUAACUACGUGCCAGCCGCCGCGGUAA
rnacentral:rRNA from 1 species